rnacentral:rRNA from 1 species
GAUGAACGCUGGCGGCGUGCCUAAUACAUGCAAGUCGAGCGAACAGACGAGGAGCUUGCUCCUCUGACGUUAGCGGCGGACGGGUGAGUAACACGUGGAUAACCUACCUAUAAGACUGGGAUAACUUCGGGAAACCGGAGCUAAUACCGGAUAAUAUAUUGAACCGCAUGGUUCAAUAAUGAAAGACGGUUUUGCUGUCACUUAUAGAUGGAUCCGCGCCGCAUUAGCUAGUUGGUAAGGUAACGGCUUACCAAGGCAACGAUGCGUAGCCGACCUGAGAGGGUGAUCGGCCACACUGGAACUGAGACACGGUCCAGACUCCUACGGGAGGCAGCAGUAGGGAAUCUUCCGCAAUGGGCGAAAGCCUGACGGAGCAACGCCGCGUGAGUGAUGAAGGUCUUCGGAUCGUAAAACUCUGUUAUUAGGGAAGAACAAAUGUGUAAGUAACUAUGCACGUCUUGACGGUACCUAAUCAGAAAGCCACGGCUAACUACGU